rnacentral:rRNA from 1 species
UACGGGGGGGGCAAGCGUUGUUCGGAAUUACUGGGCGUAAAGGGCUCGUAGGCGGCCAACUAAGUCGGAUGUGAAAUCCCCAGGCUCAACUUGGGAACUGCGUCUGAUACUGGAUGGCUUGAAUCCGGGAGAGGGAUGCGGAAUUCCAGGUGUAGCGGUGAAAUGCGUAGAUAUCUGGAGGAACACCGGUGGCGAAGGCGGCAUCCUGGACCGGCAUUGACGCUGAGGAGCGAAAGCCAGGGGAGCAAACGGG